GGAGCGGUAGUACCGUCGAUGAUGACAUCGUCGUGUUACGCCGGGGGUCGCGGGUUCGAGCCCGGUCCGCUCCGCCA
rnacentral:tRNA from 1 species